AUAACAGUUAAAACAAAUUGGCAGUAGCGCUUUUGCACCUAAAACUCAGUUGGCUUUCGAGAUUCUAAAUUAAUAACAACAUUGUUGCUUAAAAGUAUCUUAUAGGUUGCCCCCAGAAGCAGCACCAACAUAAUCAUUAAUUUUAUAAAGGUAUGUGAAGAAUGACAAAAGAAACAUUGUACCUACUGGUAUUACUCUGUUCUGAUGACUGCUCGAUCUCUUAAAGCAGCACUAACAACACGAGCGCACAGAGCUAAACAGAAAUACAUUAUACCCCUUUUACCUAUUUUUAAUGGGUAUAAGAAGACGAGAGGCAAAAGACAGCUCAUGAACCCAAUAUUUUUAAAAAUACCAAAAUAAUCAUGGAAUACUAAAUAAAA